CCUUCUUUUCUCUCCCAGCCACCUAUCAUUUCUUUAACAUAACAUACAGGUUUCCCUCCAAUCAAUAGGCCAAUGAUCAUGCACUAUCCACCCUCAUCCCCUAGGCAGGAUAUGCCCCUCUUAGCUUUACGGCUGAGUUAAGCACUCUCUUGAAUAGAGGAAUAGGAGGCAGUGGCCAGAAUCCAUCUGACCAACGGGUUAUAGGCACUGAGCACCUCCACACUUCUCUGGUUAGGCAUCUUGACCAUUUGCUUAACCUGUUCAUUUACACAAGCACAGUCCAACCACAGCACAUAUUAAAAGAGAGUGAACAGGGCUUGUUUUCAUGCUGGCAAAUGAUACUUGGUGAUCAUAGUUCUGACCAGUGAGGCCCAACUAGUUGGAAGAUACUGUCAUGGCUCUGUCGGAUCCCAAUUCAGAGGAGGAGGAGGAGGAGUUGGAAUCAGGAUCAUCAGAUGGGAUGGCAUGGUCCCUCAGAACAAGUGAAGAGUUCAGGGACUGAGGACAAGGCAGUCCUAGGUCCUUCCGACAGUGGGGGGAAGGGGAAACGACUGGACAGAGAGCCACCUGAAGGAGCAUAUGAGCUGCAGAGAGUCAGCAGAGAUGACAAGGUCCAGACCAUCUCUGACAUGGAACAGCUGCCUCCCCCACCUGAACCAUGGGUGCGGAGUUGGAGUGGACGGAGGCACAGAGGAGAUCGGCAAGGUUGCUUGCGAGGAAGCAACCCUGCCACUAGUCACAAGAAACACCUGGCAAAGGGUGAUUGGAGAUGCUGGGGGAAGGUGUGUUUGUUAGGAACACCUGUCUGCUUUGGUGUGCACCUUCCCAGUUUUCGUGGACUCUUAUUUCUUGAAUCUUGGACUGUGCUUUUGAACUCUGAACCUCUGGUUUUAAUUGUGGGCUCUGGAAUUGCUUUCCUGCCUUCAGAAUUUUGGACUGUGCUUUGGCUUUCGGAAUCUUGGACUCUGUAUUGCAGAUUGUGGUUUUGUGAGCUGUGUGUCUUGCCCUUGUGUCUUGUGGGUCAACUUGACCCUAAUUUGUGGAACCAGGUAAUUCUGAUGGAGGGGGACCAUGGACAGGGAAAGUGGGGUUGAGCUUUACCAGUUCCAUUGGUGAAUUGUUGGAUGUUGUGUAAGUGAGUAAUAAACUGACUUUUACC